AAAUAUGUUGGAUGAGAAGCUGA
rnacentral:piRNA from 1 species